GGGCGGUGUACAGCUUCAGUUAUUAAUCUGUGGGAUUUUUCCAAUGUUUAAUAAAUGUUCUCUUUCUAGUAAAUUCUGCAAACUGCACUCAAAGAUGAAUGGAACCAUUGUGUACAGUGUCAGCGAGUGUCCAUUACAUGAGAUAUACAUCGUGGGGUGUGUUUCCUGGCCCCCCCAUUACAGGUUUCCCCGGGCAGCGUCACUGUAACGCACACGGCUCUUUCUUUUGUUUGUUUGUUU